UGGUCCCUACGGGGCGCAGCAGUGAGGAAUAUUGGUCAAUGGGCGCGAGCCUGAACCAGCCAAGUCGCGUGAGGGAAGACGGUCCUAUGGAUUGUAAACCUCUUUUGUCGAGGAGCAAAAGACGCCACGCGUGGCGUUCCGAGAGUACCCGAAGAAAAAGCAUCGGCUAACUCCGUGCCAGCAGCCGCGGUAAUACGGAGGAUGCGAGCGUUAUCCGGAUUUAUUGGGUUUAAAGGGUGCGUAGGCGGGACGGUAAGUCAGCGGUAAAAAUGCGGAGCUCAACUCCGUCGAGCCGUUGAAACUGC
rnacentral:rRNA from 1 species